rnacentral:hammerhead_ribozyme from 1 species
GUACUGAUGAAGAGUCCAAAACUAGGACGAAACGGCUGUCCAGUAU